CAUGGGGUGAAAAGUAUGAAUAACAAUAAACUCAUUGUUGAUAUAUAAUAUCAACUCAUGCUUCUACUCACCAUGGACAAGUUCUUCAUUAAAUCCCAAUUCUUCUUUUGGACCAGAUCUUUUUCAUAACCAAUCAACCGAUAAAUGAAGCCUCACAUUGUUUAGAAAACCAUGCUUGUCAUGGAGCCUACAUUUGUCAGACCAUCCCCCCAGAGACUCCCAUUCAUCAGGCCCUGUCAGGCUACAUUACUCAGCCUCACUAAUGCCCCCUCACAGGCUGCAACACUAUAUCCCACCUGGACCUGCCUGAUAGACGGCUUCUCUCUAUGCAGACUCCGAAGGGGCCCUUUGAGAAAUGCUUUAUUGAGGACUCUGAUGAAGGAAACUGCACCUUAAUGAAAGGCUUGCACCAGAGCAUAAUUAACUACUACUCCAGGGAUGUCAUAAGAAGGCAAUGUUCUUUGGAAAAGACAAGAAUGCUGGGAAAAAUAGAAGGCAGCAGGAAAAGAGGAAGAUCAAAUAUGAGAAGGACUGACUCCAUAGAAGAAGCCAUAGGCUUGAGUCUACAGCAGCUGAGCAGGGCUGCUGAGGACAGAAUACUGUGAACAUCACUCAUUCAUAGGGUUGCCAGGAACCAGAGACUACUCAACAGCACAUAACUCACAUACAGCCCAUUGCUGUUCUGGCAGCAAUUUCACCGAUUUGUCAUCUAUGAGGAUGAUGACUAUUUUCUUCACUGAAAAUGCAGGACCAGUCCUGAUCUCUCAAUGUCAUUAGAUUAAGGAAAACAAAGUCAGAACAAAGGCCAGAGAUUGUCAAGAAAACCAUUUAGCACAAGAGGGUUUUCCUGAAGCUUUUGAAAGAUAAAGAAAGAGCUAUGAAAGGAGCCAUUGAUGACUGUAAAGAGCAUAAACAUGGGCUGUGUGAUGUAAUCAUGAAAGAAACCUCAUAACCACAAAUCAGUAAAUGUUUCACAAUUUACCUCAAUCAAGUUUCCUUAAAGUUCCAAUUUCAACUUGAACUUAUUAUCUUUCCCUCUCUAUUAUCUUUAAUUACAGAAAAAUUUCACCAACUUGUAAUUUAGGGACAUUUGGUCUAACAAGGAAAGUUUAUUUACCAUAUGGGUAUUCUCCAGAUUACAGUCUGUUUCCCGAUAGAAAUUAAUAUAAAUGGUCAGAGAGUAGAGUUCCUUGGAAACAGUAAACAUUAAAAUUUAUUAUAAAUA